rnacentral:rRNA from 1 species
CCGAAGUAACCUUACCUGGGUUUGACAUGUACGUGGUACGGAUCUGAAAGGUGAAGGACUUACUCUUCGGAGUGAGAGCGUACACAGGUGCUGCAUGGCUGCCGUCAGCUCGUGUCGUGAGAUGUUGGGUUAAGUCCCGCAACGAGCGCAACCCCUGCAUUCAGUUGCCAUCGGUAAGGCCGGGCACUCUGGAUGGACUGCCGGCGACAAGCCGGAGGAAGGUGGGGACGACGUCAAGUCAUCAUGGCCCUUAUGUCCAGGGCGACACACGUGCUACAAUGGCCGGCACAACGGGAAGCGAAGGGGCGACCCUGAGCGGAUCCCACAAAAGCCGGUCUCAGUUCGGAUUGCAGUCUGCAACUCGACUGCAUGAAGUUGGAAUCGCUAGUAAUCGUGGAUCAGCCAAGCCGCGGUGAAUACGUUCCCGGGCCUU